AUGGCCGGGAUACAUGGCGAGCCCAGUUGGGAACAUAAGGCGCGGACCUAUCGAAACUUGCGCGAUCUUCAUGCCCAGUCGGCAUUGCCGUGGAUCGUCAUAGGAGAUUUUAACAAAAUUCUUUACUCGCGGGAAAAGUACGGAGGGGCUCCCCGACACCACUCAUGCCUCAAGGCGUUUCAGGAUGCAUUGUCAGACUGCUCGCUUGAGGAUGUUGGAUAUGAAGGGGAUAUAUUCACUUGGUUUCGUGGCGGAUGACAAGAAAGACUCGACAGGGCGGUGGUCAAUGCUACAUGGUUGCAAGCCCACCCCUACGCCGGGCUAUGUAAUUUAGAGAUGGGGAAGUCUGACCACAGGCCCAUAUUGCUAGACACUGAACAUCUUGUUGGUGUGGCAGAAACUCGGUUGAGACGUGGGAUGAAGUUUGAGGCAAGGUGGCUUGCUGAAGAAUCUGUGGAGGAAAUUGUCAAGACUGCUUGGCAAAAAGCUGUACACCUCGGCCUUUGUCCUACGGCGAGGGACAAGCUGAACUCAGUGCACCGGACCUGUAUGCCUGGGAUUGCCGUGUCUUGA
rnacentral:rRNA from 1 species